AAAACCCAUCUUCAGUAGGUAUGAAAUGUCUACCCUAAAAUAAGGUGGCUGGACACUGCAUCUUCCUUAAGCAUGGAUUAUCUUUAUACUUACUCAGUGAUCAUGAAAAAUAGUUGUACGAACAUCAUAUUUAAAGUCACAGAGAUUAAAUAUGAGAUGAAAGAAAAAUAUUAAUUUAAGAGUAAGAGGAUUUAUACAACUCCAAGAAUAUAAAAUUAAAUACAUAAAAUCCGUGUCCCUUUAUUAGGGCUGCAUCCAGCCCUGAAGAGGAGAUCAGCCUUCCAUGAAGAGUUGAACAGUGGCAGCGCAGAGGACUCCCAUCACGGCUAGAACUUCUUCCUUUCUUCCUCCGGCUCUACUGAAAACAGCUCCCUCUCAGCACUUCCUUAUUUCUUUUAUAUGAGAAAUUAUUCCCCAAAUGCCCAAACUUCUCUCCCUCUUAUUUCUAUGGGAUUCGGCCUCCUGAGAAGAGAUGAUUGAGAUCAGCCGGCUUCCUCCUCCCGAAUGCCCUCGUCUUCACUUCCUAACUCCUUUAUAUAGACUGCCCUCCUCCCUCUCUCCCUCUGAAUGUGGUUGUUCCGAAUGAGAGGAUAAAGACGUGAGUGAUCCGACUGAGAUGCGGCUGGGAGGAUAUCUUGCUGGAUUGCGGAAGAUGGAUGGAGUUCAUCCGGAAUGACGCGGGAAACAGGGGAUUCGGAAGAAGAUUGAUGCUGUGAACAGAUGCCUGGGACCUAUCCCAUGUAUGCUGGAUGCUUAUCACGAACAGGAUGAACUGCAAGAUCUUGGAGAAGGUUGGGAGGAAAGCUGCAAUCAUGGGAGGAUGCGGAGUAGAUCUCGGCUGGAUGGUUGAGAGGUAAUCCGGAAGCAGAGGAGAUGAAGAUGAAUCGUGGGGUUGCUAGGAUUUUGUGGAAUGACUGGAAUGUGAACGGGAUGAAGCUGGGAGAUUCGGAGAAGUGGAUGAGGCUGAAUCGCGGAAAAGGGAGUCAUGAAGUUGAGAGUAUCUCGGCUGAGAGGAGAUGCUCAGGAUGCUGAGAUUAUUGGAGUUAGGAAGGUGUUUGGAUGGAUUCGGAAGAGGAAAUCUGGGAGGCAGUUGUUUGGAUGUUCAUCCGAUUGGGAACAGGGGAUGCUGGAAUUUGGGUUCAUCCCGUGAAGAUGGAUGCUCUGUUCCUUGAAGCUUGGAUGGAAUACUUGAUUCGAACGGGAUUGGUUUCGGAUGUUUGGGAGCUCUCUAGAACGAAUCCGGGUGAAGAGGAUUCAGCUCUAUCUCGGGAGGAUAAACUUGGAACGGGAAGAGGACGCGGAGAAAUGGGAUGCUGAUCUUUGGAGCUCGGAUGGCAGGGGAAAACGUGUGGAUUUGGUUGGGAGGAAGUUAUUCAGCUGGGAACAGGCCAACGGCUCUGUU
rnacentral:lncRNA from 1 species